rnacentral:rRNA from 1 species
UACGGAGGGUGCGAGCGUUGUCCGGAAUCACUGGGCGUAAAGGGCGCGUAGGUGGCCUGUGGAAGUCUGCGGUGAAAGCCCGGCGCUCAACGCCGGGUCGGCCGUGGAUACUCUCGGGCUCGAGCUUACUAGAGGCAGAUGGAAUUCCGGGUGUAGCGGUGGAAUGCGUAGAGAUCCGGAAGAACACCGGUGGCGAAGGCGGUCUGCUGGGGUAAUGCUGACACUGAUGCGCGACGGCGUGGGGAGCAAACAGG